rnacentral:rRNA from 1 species
AUCAAACUUCGUGAUAGCUGGUUCUCUCCGAAAUAUAUUUAGGUAUAGCGUUGUGUCGUAAUAUAAGGGGGUAGAGCACUGAAUGGGCUAGGGCAUACACCAAUGUACCAAACCCUAUCAAACUCCGAAUACCUUAUAUGUAAUCACAGCAGUCAGGCGGCGAGUGAUAAAAUCCGUCGUCAAGAGGGAAACAACCCAGACUACCAGCUAAGGUCCCUAAAUCUUACUUAAGUGGAAAACGAUGUGAAGUUACUUAAACAACCAGGAGGUUGGCUUAGAAGCAGCCAUCCUUUAAAGAAAGCGUAAUAGCUCACUGGUCUAGUGAUUUUGCGCGGAAAAUAUAACGGGGCUAAAGUAAGUACCGAAGCUGUAGACUUAGUUUACUAAGUGGUAGGAGAGCGUUCUAUUUGCGUCGAAGGUAUACCGGUAAGGAGUGCUGGAGCGAAUAGAAGUGAGCAUGCAGGCAUGAGUAGCGAUAAUUAAUGUGAGAAUCAUUAACGCCGUAAACCCAAGGUUUCCUACGCGAUGCUCGUCAUCGUAGGGUUAGUCGGGUCCUAAGUCGAGUCCGAAAGGGGUAGACGAUGGCAAAUUGGUUAAUAUUCCAAUACCAACAUUAGUGUGCGAUGGAAGGACGCUUAGGGCUAAGGGGGCUAGCGGAUGGAAGUGCUAGUCUAAGGUCGUAGGAGGUUAUACAGGCAAAUCCGUAUAACAAUACUCCGAGAACUGAAAGGCUUUUUGAAGUCUUCGGAUG